GCGAGAGCGUGGGGUAGGUGGCGGGGAGUGAAGAGGGGGCAAGCGUGGGUCGGAAUUAUAGGGGGUGAAGCGCGUAGUGGGGGGAUUGGGAGACGGGUGUGAGAGUCGUCAGGGCAACUGGGGAAGUGCGCCGGAAACUGCAGAGCUUGAGUACCGGAGAGGAUGGCGGAAUUCCCCAAGUAGAGGUGAAAUUCGUAGAGAUGGGGAGGAACACCGGUGGCGAAGGCGGACAUCUGGACGGAUACUGACGCUGAGACGCGAAAGCGUGGGGAGCAAACAGGAUUAGAUACCCUUGUAGUC
rnacentral:rRNA from 1 species